UUAAGCGACUAAGCGUACACGGUGGAUGCCCUGGCAGUCAGAGGCGAUGAAGGACGUGCUAAUCUGCGAUAAGCGUCGGUGAGGUGAUAUGAACCGUUAUAACCGGCGAUUUCCGAAUGGGGAAACCCAGUGUGUUUCGACACACUAUCAUUAACUGAAUCCAUAGGUUAAUGAGGCGAACCGGGGGAACUGAAACAUCUAAGUACCCCGAGGAAAAGAAAUCAACCGAGAUUCCCCCAGUAGCGGCGAGCGAACGGGGAGGAGCCCAGAGCCUGAAUCAGUGUGUGUGUUAGUGGAAGCGUCUGGAAAGGCGUGCGAUACAGGGUGACAGCCCCGUACACAAAAAUGCACAUAUUGUGAGCUCGAUGAGUAGGGCGGGACACGUGGUAUCCUGUCUGAAUAUGGGGGGACCAUCCUCCAAGGCUAAAUACUCCUGACUGACCGAUAGUGAACCAGUACCGUGAGGGAAAGGCGAAAAGAACCCCGGCGAGGGGAGUGAAAAAGAACCUGAAACCGUGUACGUACAAGCAGUGGGAGCCUCUUAAUGGGGUGACUGCGUACCUUUUGUAUAAUGGGUCAGCGACUUAUAUUCUGUAGCAAGGUUAACCGAAUAGGGGAGCCGAAGGGAAACCGAGUCUUAACUGGGCGUUAAGUUGCAGGGUAUAGACCCGAAACCCGGUGAUCUAGCCAUGGGCAGGUUGAAGGUUGGGUAACACUAACUGGAGGACCGAACCGACUAAUGUUGAAAAAUUAGCGGAUGACUUGUGGCUGGGGGUGAAAGGCCAAUCAAACCGGGAGAUAGCUGGUUCUCCCCGAAAGCUAUUUAGGUAGCGCCUCGUGAAUUCAUCUCCGGGGGUAGAGCACUGUUUCGGCAAGGGGGUCAUCCCGACUUACCAACCCGAUGCAAACUGCGAAUACCGGAGAAUGUUAUCACGGGAGACACACGGCGGGUGCUAACGUCCGUCGUGAAGAGGGAAACAACCCAGACCGCCAGCUAAGGUCCCAAAGUCAUGGUUAAGUGGGAAACGAUGUGGGAAGGCCCAGACAGCCAGGAUGUUGGCUUAGAAGCAGCCAUCAUUUAAAGAAAGCGUAAUAGCUCACUGGUCGAGUCGGCCUGCGCGGAAGAUGUAACGGGGCUAAACCAUGCACCGAAGCUGCGGCAGCGACACUAUGUGUUGUUGGGUAGGGGAGCGUUCUGUAAGCCUGUGAAGGUGGCCUGUGAGGGUUGCUGGAGGUAUCAGAAGUGCGAAUGCUGACAUAAGUAACGAUAAAGCGGGUGAAAAGCCCGCUCGCCGGAAGACCAAGGGUUCCUGUCCAACGUUAAUCGGGGCAGGGUGAGUCGACCCCUAAGGCGAGGCCGAAAGGCGUAGUCGAUGGGAAACAGGUUAAUAUUCCUGUACUUGGUGUUACUGCGAAGGGGGGACGGAGAAGGCUAUGUUGGCCGGGCGACGGUUGUCCCGGUUUAAGCGUGUAGGCUGGUUUUCCAGGCAAAUCCGGAAAACCAAGGCUGAGGCGUGAUGACGAAGCACUACGGUGCUGAAGCGACAAAUGCCCUGCUUCCAGGAAAAGCCUCUAAGCAUCAGGUAACAUCAAAUCGUACCCCAAACCGACACAGGUGGUCAGGUAGAGAAUACCAAGGCGCUUGAGAGAACUCGGGUGAAGGAACUAGGCAAAAUGGUGCCGUAACUUCGGGAGAAGGCACGCUGAUAUGUAGGUGAAGCGACUUGCUCGUGGAGCUGAAAUCAGUCGAAGAUACCAGCUGGCUGCAACUGUUUAUUAAAAACACAGCACUGUGCAAACACGAAAGUGGACGUAUACGGUGUGACGCCUGCCCGGUGCCGGAAGGUUAAUUGAUGGGGUUAGCGGUAACGCGAAGCUCUUGAUCGAAGCCCCGGUAAACGGCGGCCGUAACUAUAACGGUCCUAAGGUAGCGAAAUUCCUUGUCGGGUAAGUUCCGACCUGCACGAAUGGCGUAAUGAUGGCCAGGCUGUCUCCACCCGAGACUCAGUGAAAUUGAACUCGCUGUGAAGAUGCAGUGUACCCGCGGCAAGACGGAAAGACCCCGUGAACCUUUACUAUAGCUUGACACUGAACAUUGAGCCUUGAUGUGUAGGAUAGGUGGGAGGCUUUGAAGUGUGGACGCCAGUCUGCAUGGAGCCGACCUUGAAAUACCACCCUUUAAUGUUUGAUGUUCUAACGUUGGCCCGUAAUCCGGGUUGCGGACAGUGUCUGGUGGGUAGUUUGACUGGGGCGGUCUCCUCCUAAAGAGUAACGGAGGAGCACGAAGGUUGGCUAAUCCUGGUCGGACAUCAGGAGGUUAGUGCAAUGGCAUAAGCCAGCUUGACUGCGAGCGUGACGGCGCGAGCAGGUGCGAAAGCAGGUCAUAGUGAUCCGGUGGUUCUGAAUGGAAGGGCCAUCGCUCAACGGAUAAAAGGUACUCCGGGGAUAACAGGCUGAUACCGCCCAAGAGUUCAUAUCGACGGCGGUGUUUGGCACCUCGAUGUCGGCUCAUCACAUCCUGGGGCUGAAGUAGGUCCCAAGGGUAUGGCUGUUCGCCAUUUAAAGUGGUACGCGAGCUGGGUUUAGAACGUCGUGAGACAGUUCGGUCCCUAUCUGCCGUGGGCGCUGGAGAACUGAGGGGGGCUGCUCCUAGUACGAGAGGACCGGAGUGGACGCAUCACUGGUGUUCGGGUUGUCAUGCCAAUGGCACUGCCCGGUAGCUAAAUGCGGAAGAGAUAAGUGCUGAAAGCAUCUAAGCACGAAACUUGCCCCGAGAUGAGUUCUCCCUGAGACUUAGAGUCUCCUGAAGGAACGUUGAAGACGACGACGUUGAUAGGCCGGGUGUGUAAGCGCAGCGAUGCGUUGAGCUAACCGGUACUAAUGAACCGUGAGGCUUAACCUU
rnacentral:rRNA from 8 species